rnacentral:rRNA from 1 species
AAUUUUGGACAAUGGGCGCAAGCCUGAUCCAGCCACGCCGCGUGAGUGAAGAAGUCCUUCGGGAUGUAAAGCUCUAUCGGACGGAAAGAAAGGGCCCAGGCUAAGACCCUGCGCGGAGGACGGUACCGUCAUAAGAAGCACCGGCUAACUACGUGCCAGCAGCCGCGGUAAUACGUAGGGUGCGAGCGUUAAUCGGAAUCACUGGGCGUAAAGCGUGCGCAGGCGGUUGAUUAAGACAGGCGUGAAAUCCCCGGGAUUAACCUGGGGACUGCGCUUGUGACUGGUCAGCUAGAGUACGGCAGAGGGGGGUGGAAUGCCACGUGUAGCAGUGAAAUGCGUAGAGAUGUGGAGGAACACCGAUGGCGAAGGCAGCCCCCUGGGCCGAUACUGACGCUCAUGCACGAAAGCGUGGGUAGCAAACAGG